CUUCUCUUUGUAGUGCUCCACUGAACUUUCCACAUGGAGAUGUUGCCAACAUUGGAAGAUUCAUUUCCUGCACCGCCGCCAUAUUUUUUAUCAGAUGGUGCCCCAAAGAAAACUUCUGGCGUUUACAUAGUCAACCCCUGUGAUAAACGGCCUCAACAGCAAACUUCCAUUGGGCCACCUUCUGCAGACCCUGAUAAUCCUCUAGUAAGGAUCAGGGGACAUAAGACUGACCCAUGUCGAGCUCCAGCCCUGAUGACUUGCAGCUUCUGUCAAAGUCAGGUUACCACGGAGGUCACUUUCCGAGUGGGGACUUUUGCUUGGCUAAUGUGUUUCCUAUUUGUGCUUUGUGGGUUGAUUCUUGGUUGUUGCCUGAUUCCUUUUUUUAUAAACCACUUCAAGGAUGCCUGCCACAUAUGUCCACAUUGUCACCAUGUUCUUCAUGUGGAGAGGAGGACAUUCUUCAAAUGAUGACUCCUCAACCAGCGUGUUCAAGUCAAGUUUUAUGUUUGGUUGUGUAACAAAAAAUCCCUUCAGUAAAACUGCAAUAUUUAAAUAGAUUUUAAUCUCAUUUUAAAAAAAAUAUAUGAAUAAAUGUUUUUCUGUGACCUAGUCUUGGCUUUUUUUCAAAGAAAAAUAUAAACGGUACAUUUUUAUGGGUUUUGAUGUUGUACUUUUCCAUGACCAAGUUUGUUAGCCUGUCACCAGAUGUAAUUAUAAAAAGGAUUAAACAAUUUUCUAAUGAUUUUAAGCUUCUACCUGAAGUAGCUGUUGAAAAAAAGAAAUGAAUCGUUACACCGUCUGCCAUCGGAAGAUUGCAAAAUAGAACUGCUUCUGCAACCUUUAGGAUAAACUUCUGCCAAAACGUGUGUGUAUAUGCAUCUAUAUUAAAUCCUGAUGCUAGCACAUUGCAAAGGAAAUGUAAAAGUGCAAACCUUUCUAGAGAUUUCAGGAAAAAAGGUGAGAUUAGAAGUAAGUGAAUGUCUAAAAGACAAGGGAGGCCACUGGAUCUGCAAACCAGUGAAGAUGAGGAAAAUUAUGUCUUAAGAGAUUUCCAUGUCGGACUGCAUUGCAGAAGAAACUGAAGACAGAAAGUCAGGGAAUCUGGACCAUCUGAAAUGUAAUUCUCUGUAUAAAUUCAGUUGAGGGCGAUUAGAUUUGGUUUUCUUUGAGAUGUUUUGCUGCCCAACACAAUUGACGUUCUCUCCUAAAAGUGAUGACUGAAAACAGUCCUGUAUGGUAAUAAUUCUUUUUGGAGCAUUUUUUUUCUUGACUGGCCUGUACCAAAAAGUUGUCUUUGUUUUUAGAAAAGAAAAUUAUGCUAAAUGUUUUGCUAAUUUUUUUUCUUUGAUUCUAUUUAUUUCAAUAAAGAGCUCCAGCUUUAUACAGGAAUAUGGGUUUUUCUACCCACUAAUAUCAAUGACUGCUUCUUUAGCAGGGCAGUGGGAGCGAUUUAGCCACAUGGUCUCGCCGUGUGAACACGUAAGGGUUACACUGAGGAUGGAAGCCCUUCUGUAAACUGCUAGUCUAGUUAAGCUAAAAGCAAUAAAAAGCCCUGCCGUCUAAGUCAGCCUACCAUUUGUACCAUACUGUGGAUAAUUAAUUUUGUCGGAUAAUUUUGUAAUGGCAAUAUUUUCUACGUUUUUUAAUAUUUCAUUUAACAGUUUCCUAAAAUAUACCUGUUAAGUUGUGCUUAAAAUGUUUGGUUAAUUCACUCAUAUCUUUUAUAACUAUUUUCUGUUUCUGCUGAUCUAUGCUUUAAGAAAUCUUUAUAUAGUGUUGACUUUUAUUUUAUAGGCAUUCUUUUGUGAUCCACGAAGACUUUGAAUAUUUACCUUUUCUUGUGUAUGUUUUAUUGGACAUUCUUUGUUUCUUUGAUGUUUAGGAAUGCUUCUAAAGCUGAGCUAUGGUUUUUCCUGAUAUAUUGACUCCAGAUUUAAACUAAGCAGAUCUUCUCUAAAUCUAAUCAUUGACUCCUCUGUUCUUAUUAUUUUGUACCUGCGUGUCAUCCUUACCAGUUUGCCUUUAACAGUUGACAUAGACUAUAGCUACCAGGAGAUGGUCACUCAUAUCCUUAUAAGA